rnacentral:rRNA from 1 species
UACGUAGGGGGCAAGCGUUGUCCGGAUUUAUUGGGCGUAAAGAGCGUGUAGGCGGCCAGUCAAGUCCGUUGUGAAAACUAGAGGCUUAACCUCUAGACGUCGAUGGAAACUGUUUGGCUAGAGUCCGGAAGAGGAGAAUGGAAUUCCUGGUGUAGCGGUGAAAUGCGCAGAUAUCAGGAAGAACACCCGUGGCUAAGGCGGUUCUCUAGUACGGUACUGACGCUGAGACGCGAAAGCGUGGGGAGCGAACAGG